rnacentral:rRNA from 1 species
UACGGAGGGGACUAGCAUUGUUCGGAAUUACUGGGCGUAAAGCGCACGUAGGCGGAUUUGUAAGUCAGGGGUGAAAUCCCGGGGCUCAACCUCGGAACUGCCUUUGAUACUGCAAAUCUCGAGUCCGGAAGAGGUGAGUGGAAUUCCUAGUGUAGAGGUGAAAUUCGUAGAUAUUAGGAAGAACACCAGUGGCGAAGGCGGCUCACUGGUCCGGUACUGACGCUGAGGUGCGAAAGCGUGGGGAGCAAACAGG